AGGACGAACGCUGGCGGCGUGCUUAACACAUGCAAGUCGAGCGGUAAGGCCUUUCGGGGUACACGAGCGGCGAACGGGUGAGUAACACGUGGGUGAUCUGCCCUGCACUUCGGGAUAAGCCUGGGAAACUGGGUCUAAUACCGGAUACGACCUCCUAUCGCAUGGUGGGUGGUGGAAAGAUUUAUCGGUGCAGGAUGGGCCCGCGGCCUAUCAGCUUGUUGGUGGGGUAAUGGCCUACCAAGGCGACGACGGGUAGCCGACCUGAGAGGGUGACCGGCCACGCUGGGACUGAGACGCGGCCCAGACUCCUACGGGAGGCAGCAGUGGGGAAUAUUGCACAAUGGGCGAAAGCCUGAUGCAGCGACGCCGCGUGAGGGAUGACGGCCUCGGUUGUAACCUCUUUCAGCAGGACGAAGACGCAAGUGACGGUACCUGCAGAAGAAGCACCGGCUAACUAACGUACCAGCAGCCGC
rnacentral:rRNA from 1 species